UUAAUGUUCUGGACAAUGAUGUGGUCAUUUCAUGUUGUGGACAGUCUGUGAAAAGCUAUUUCAUCCAAAUAUAUUUCAAACACAUGGAUGAAACAACACUUUAUAUAUAUAUUUUUUAACACUGUUAAUUCUAUUUGAAAAUGUUUUGAAAGCCAAUCACAUCCACCAGAGUUUACGACCCAUAGAAACCUUUCAAGAUAUUUCUUGCACCAUAUUUAAGCGCGGAAACGUGUAAUCAUUUUAAAACAUUAAAAAGAGAGAGAGAGAGAGAGAGAGAGAGAGAGAAAACAUUUGGAGUUUCCUUUUAUAAACACACAGCUUGCUUGUCACUGUGCAUGCUCUACGCAGCAAUAUGUUCACACGACCUCUCGACACUCAAUUUCUUAGAUUAGCUCAAGUGGUUUAUUUAUAAUAACUGCCUCGGAUCAUUUGAAAUGCCAUAAUUUAUGCACGCGGAUUAAAGUGAGAGUAACUUUGGAGAGCUAGUAACCGUUCCUGUUCCUGAUCUUCUCGUUUAGCUCGCAUGAUGCUUAUUUUUUUAUUUUCUAUUCUCAGAGGUAUUGGUUGAAAACAGAAGUAAGACAAAAAAACAAACAAAAAGAAACAAAACAAAAAAGUGCAACACUGCAUUUUUAACAUUUUCUUUUACUAAAAAUGCGUCUCUACGUGUCUAGCUAAAUGCAUGCACAGAAUGUUUGUCAGGCAGGGCAAGCUAUGAAAGAAGGAAAAAAAGUUUUGGUAAUAAAUAGAAGUAUAAAUGAAGUUGUUUUUUUUGUUUUUUGUUAUAUUUGUACAGUGAGCUUGUUUAUCUGGCUGACAGGAUAUAAUACAUCUCUCACUGCCAAACGGCUCUACAGUGAUGCCACGAGCCCCGGAAUGUUCUGUUGUGUGACAGUUACAUCAGUGUUACACCAUCCGGCUGCCAGACGUCACAGAAUGAGACAAAGGGUGCACUUGAUUUCGUGCCCUGAAGAGUGCCCACAUUGCCCUGGCGGAGGGAGGAUGUCAAGACUGUUCAAAACCUGCAAGAGAAAGACAGGAUGUCAGAGAUGGACUCAGGAGAAAGUGGUGAGACGUCUCUCUGCCCUGACAGCUUGACGUCGGAACAGGGGAAAGCCUGUAUGGAUCAAGGAAACCGCGGCUAGAAAUGAUCAGACCAGGACCCCUCAAUACGGUGCACUCUUCAAUCACUCCAUAAGGCUCGAAAAGGCGGUACACAUCCUCCUCCGUCUGCUGCUUGUUCAGCAUGCCAACAAACAGCUUCCUGUCCUCUGCAACACAAGAGAGUAAAAACAUGUCUGCUAUGAUUCCUGUCAUAUCUUCUCCACAUCCUGUUCGAGCUUUACAGCACAUUACUUCAGCUGUCGAAGCAUCAUACAGAUAUACAGAUGACCUGAGAACUAACACAAGUGCACAGGACACCAGCUCACACCGCUCGACUCUGCACUGGAACAUCAGCAAUAAUAGCAAUAAUGAAGCAGCGUGAGUACCUGACUCUGUGCCUAUUAACACACACAAGCCACAUAUCACACAACUCCUGUACCAAUUAAAGCUGCUCAAGGUGCUGUCAUGGCUCAUGUUCACACUUUCAUGCCUCUCAUCUUCCUGAAUAUUCCACCACUUAGAGCUGCAAAUGUGCGUCUCU